rnacentral:rRNA from 1 species
UCAAAGGUGGUUUCRGCCRUCACUUUGGGAUGGGCCCGCGGUGCMUUAGCUWKUUGGUAAGGUAACGGCUUACCAAGGCGAUGAUGCAUAGCCKAGUUGAGAGACUGAUCGGCCACAAUGGAACUGAGACACGGUCCAUACUCCUACGGGAGGCAGCAGUAGGGAAUCUUCCACAAUGGGCGCAAGCCUGAUGGAGCGACACCGCGUGAGUGAAGAAGGGUUUCGGCUCGUAAAGCUCUGUUGUUGAAGAAGAACGUACCUGAGAGGAAAUGUUCAGGUAGUGACGGUAUUCAACCAGAAAGUCACGGCUAACUACGUGCCAGCAGCCGCGGUAAUACGUAGGUGGCAAGCGUUAUCCGGAUUUAUUGGGCGUAAAGCGAGCGCAGGCGGUUUGUUAAGUCUGAUGUGAAAGCCUUCGGCUCAACCGAAGAAGUGCAUCGGAAACUGGCGAACUUGAGUGCAGAAGAGGGCAGUGGAACUCCAUGUGUAGCGGUGGAAUGCGUAGAUAUAUGGAAGAACACCAGUGGCGAAGGCGGCUGCCUAGUCUGCAACUGACGCUGAGACUCGAAAGCAUGGGUAGCGAACAGGAUUAGAUACCCUGGUAGUCCAUGCCGUAAACGAUGAGUGCUAGGUGUUGGAGGGUUUCCGCCCUUCAGUGCCGCAGCUAACGCAAUAAGCACUCCGCCUGGGGAGUACGACCGCAAGGUUGAAACUCAAAGGAAUUGACGGGGGCCCGCACAAGCGGUGGAGCAUGUGGUUUAAUUCGAAGCUACGCGAAGAACCUUACCAGGUCUUGACAUCUUGCGCUAACCUAACAGAUUARGCGUUCCCUUCGCGGACGCAAUGACAGGUGGUGCAKGGUCGUCGUCACCUCCUGUCCUGAGAUGUUGGGUUAANCCCGCAACGAGCGCACCCUUGUUACUAGUUGCCANCAUUCRUUUGG